CAGCCGCCACGGUAAUACGUAGGUCCCGAGCGUUGUCCGGAUUUAUUGGGCGUAAAGCGAGCGCAGGCGGUUAGAUAAGUCUGAAGUUAAAGGCUGUGGCUUAACCAUAGUACGCUUUGGAAACUGUUUAACUUGAGUGCAAGAGGGGAGAGUGGAAUUCCAUGUGUAGCGGUGAAAUGCGUAGAUAUAUGGAGGAACACCGGUGGCGAAAGCGGCUCUCUGGCUUGUAACUGACGCUGAGGCUCGAAAGCGUGGGGAGCAAACAGGAUUAGAGACCCCAGUAGUCCCUGUCUCUUAUACA
rnacentral:rRNA from 1 species